CCUGGUUGAUCCUGCCAGUAGUCAUAUGCUUGUCUCAAAGAUUAAGCCAUGCAUGUCUAAGUAAAAAGCAAUUUUUACAGCGAAACUGCGAAUGGCUCAUUAAAUCAGUUAUGAUCUACAUGGCAAUGUAUUUUUUACUACUGGAUAACCGUGGUAAUUCUAGAGCUAAUACAUGCAAAAAAGGGGUGCCUUACGGCAUUCUGCACUUAUUAGAUCAAAGCCAACAGCCUGGCAACAGGUUUCUUUUGGUGAAUCAAUAAUAAUUAAGCGGAUCGCACGGCCUUGUGCCGGCGACGGUUCAUUCGAUUUUCUGCCCUAUCAGGCUUUGAUGGUAAGUAGUGGCUUACCAUGGCUAUCACGGGUGACGGGGAAUAAGGGUUCGAUUCCGGAGAGGGAGCCUGAGAAACGGCUACCACAUCCAAGGAAGGCAGCAGGCGCGCAAAUUACCCAAUCCCGAUACGGGGAGGUAGUGACAAUAAAUAACAAUGCAGAGCCUUUCAGGUUUUUGCAAUUGGAAUGAGUACAAUUUAAAUCUCUUAACGAGAACCAAUUGGAGGGCAAGUCUGGUGCCAGCAGCCGCGGUAAUUCCAGCUCCAAUAGCGUAUAUUAAAGUUGUUGCAGUUAAAACGUCCGUAGUCGAACUUUGGUUUUGGCUUGUGCCUGGCGUUCUUCAUUGAGCGUUUGGGUUGCAUGCCUUGCCAUUUUGUAGGGGUGGCAGUCUUUCGGGCUGAUGAUCUCUGCGUAUUACCAUGAGCAAAUCAGAGUGCUCAAAGCAGGCUUUAUAGCUUGAAUGUUUUAGCAUGGAAUAAUGAAAUAAGCCUUAGGUCUUGUUUCGUUGGUUUACUUGACACUGGGGAAUGGAUGAAUAGGAACGGUUGGGGGCAUUUGUAUUUGGCCGCUAGAGGUGAAAUUCUUGGAUUGGGCCGAAGACAAACUACUGCGAAAGCAUUUGACCCAGGACGUUUUCAUUGAUCAGGGACUAAAGUUUUGAGGGAUCGAAGACGGAUUAGAUACCGGUCGUAGUCUUAACC
rnacentral:rRNA from 1 species